AUUGAACGCUGGCGGCAGGCCUAACACAUGCAAGUCGAGCGGGGCGGCGGACGGGUGAGUAAUGCAUAGGAAUCUGCCUGGUAGUGGGGGAUAACGUACGGAAACGGGCGCUAAUACCGCAUACUAUCAGAUGAGCCUAGGGCGGAUGAGCUAGUUGGGGGGGUAAAGGCCUACCAAGGCGACGAUCCGUAACUGGUCUGAGAGGCUGAUCAGUCACACUGGAACUGAGAGACGUGCCAGACUCCGACGGGAGUCAGCAGGGGGGAAUAUUGGACAAUGGGCGAAAGCCUGAUCCAGCCAUGCCGCGGGUGUGAAGAAGGUCUUCGGAUUGUAAAGCUCUUUAAGCUGGGAGGCGGUACCAACAGAAUAAGCACCGGCUAACUUCGUGCCAGCAGCCGCGGUAAUAC
rnacentral:rRNA from 1 species